AGUGAACGCUGGCGGUAGGCCUAACACAUGCAAGUCGAACGGCAGCACAGUAAGAGCUUGCUCUUACGGGUGGCGAGUGGCGGACGGGUGAGGAAUACAUCGGAAUCUACUUUUUCGUGGGGGAUAACGUAGGGAAACUUACGCUAAUACCGCAUACGACCUACGGGUGAAAGCAGGGGAUCUUCGGACCUUGCGCGAUUGAAUGAGCCGAUGUCGGAUUAGCUAGUUGGCGGGGUAAAGGCCCACCAAGGCGACGAUCCGUAGCUGGUCUGAGAGGAUGAUGAGCACAACUGGAACUGAGACACGUCCCAGACUCCAACGGGAGGCAGCAGUGGGGAAUAUUGGCCAAUGGGCGCAAGCCUGCUCAAGCAAUACGGCGUGGGUGAAGAAGGCCUUCGGGUUGUAAAGCCCUUUUGUUGGGAAAGAAAAGCAGCAGGUUAAUACCCCGCUGUUCUGACGGUACCAAAAGAAUAAGCACCGGCUAACUUCGU
rnacentral:rRNA from 1 species